rnacentral:tRNA from 1 species
GCGGAUAUGGCGGAAUUGGCAGACGCGCCAGACUUAGGAUCUGGUGUCAACGACGUGGGGGUUCAAGUCCCUUUAUCCGCACCA